rnacentral:rRNA from 1 species
UACGUAGGGGGCGAGCGUUGUCCGGAUUUAUUGGGCGUAAAGAGCGUGUAGGCGGCCAGGCAGGUCUGCUGUGAAAACUCGAGGCUCAACCUCGAGACGUCGGCGGAAACCAUCUGGCUAGAGUCCGGAAGAGGAGAGUGGAAUUCCUGGUGUAGCGGUGAAAUGCGCAGAUAUCAGGAAGAACACCCGUGGCGAAGGCGGCUCUCUGGGACGGUACUGACGCUGAGACGCGAAAGCGUGGGUAGCAAACAGG